rnacentral:rRNA from 1 species
CUCCUACGGGAGGCAGCAGUGGGGAAUAUUGCACAAUGGGGGAAACCCUGAUGCAGCGACGCCGCGUGAGUGAAGAAGUAUUUCGGUAUGUAAAGCUCUAUCAGCAGGGAAGAAAGUGACGGUACCUGAAUAAGAAGCCCCGGCUAACUACGUGCCAGCAGCCGCGGUAAUACGUAGGGGGCAAGCGUUAUCCGGAUUUACUGGGUGUAAAGGGAGCGUAGACGGCAAGGCAAGUCUGAAGUGAAAGCCCGGUGCUUAACGCCGGGACUGCUUUGGAAACUGUUUGGCUGGAGUGCCGGAGAGGUAAGCGGAAUUCCUAGUGUAGCGGUGAAAUGCGUAGAUAUUAGGAAGAACACCAGUGGCGAAGGCGGCCUACUGGGCACCAACUGACGCUGAGGCUCGAAAGUGUGGGUAGCAAACAGGAUUAGAUACCCUGGUAGUCCACACCGUAAACGAUGAUUACUAGGUGUUGGGGGAUNGACCCCCUCAGUGCCGCAGUAACAC